UUCUCGCACGCAGGCGUGAAACCGCUCCCCACCCAGACCACCACUCCGGCAUCCUGGGUGGGCCGCGGGCGUCGCCCCCAGCCUCCUCGCUGGUGUUGCGCAAACAUUGUCCGCGGCUCCGACGAGGACGCAGCCACCUCCGGCUUCCUCGGCAACGGCCGGCCGCGAGCGCCGCCCUCGCUAUGCUGCCGCCUCCCACUCCAACAUCCCAGGUGGGUCGCGGACGCCGGCACUGCGCAGGCCACGGUCCACCGCUCUGCCGAGGACAUGGCCGCCUACAGCCUCCCAGGCUGGCAGCCUCCCAACCCUGCCUGUUCACGCCUCCCCAUCGGUGUCGCGUGGGCCACGGUCCCCCGAGGACGCUGCCGCCGGUAGCCUCUCCGGUAGGCACCAGGCGCCACCUACUCCGGCAUCCCAGAGUUUUGAAAUGACAUGAACAAAGAACUUGGCCAAGAGAGUGGGAGGUCAUAGCAAACUCUGAACUUAAUAGGCAGUCUCAAAUUUGCAGUCUCCUUAGAUUGUGUCGGCUCAUGGGAUAGGCUCAGAGGUAAUGAACCAGGGUCCAUAUUUCCCGCAGUUGUGGCACCGCAGUGACCUUACUGCUGGGGAACGCUAGACUGUCAAAGACCUUGCAUCACCCUUUCUCCAUUGACUAGAUCGCCAUCUCGAGCAAAAUUCAGCCCUGACGACAGGUGCCGCUUGGAGCUGAACUUUGCCUCUGUACCAAAUCAGGCAUGACAAGAUUGAUGAGUAGCUGACACCUUAUCUUGAUGCAUACAGAAUGGAUAGAGAGGCAGUGGAGUUUAAGAAUACUAGACAUAUUUUUUUGUUUACAUUUUAGUUUUCCCAGUAAUAUGGGCUUGUACUCUUCAAUAUGUACAUUUUUCAAUAGAAUCAUAUUAUCACGCCAUGCGAACAAGUACUAUGUUUAUAACCUUCCUAUAAUUAAUGCAGCUUGCUAUGAUUAUUAAAUUUA